rnacentral:misc_RNA from 1 species
GAUGAAGAACGCAGCGAAAUGCGAUAAGUAAUGUGAAUUGCAGAAUUCAGUGAAUCAUCGAAUCUUUGAACGCACAUUGCGCCCGCCAGUAUUCUGGCGGGCAUGCCUGUUCGAGCGUCAUUACAACCCUCAGGCCCCCGGGCCUGGCGUUGGGGAUCGUCAGAAGCCCCCUGUGGGCACACGCCGUCCCUCAAAUACAGUGGCGGUCCCGCCGCAGCUUCCAUUGCGUAGUAGCUAACACCUCGCAACUGGAGAGCGGCGCGGCCAUGCCGUAAAACACCCAACUUCUGAAUGUUGACCUCGAAUCAGGUAGGAAUACCCGCUGAACUUAAGCAUAUCAAUAAGCGGAGGA